rnacentral:rRNA from 1 species
UACGAAGGGGGCUAGCGUUGCUCGGAAUCACUGGGCGUAAAGGGUGCGUAGGCGGGUGCUCAAGUCGGUGGUGAAAGCCCGCAGCUCAACUGCGGAAGUGCCGCCGAUACUGGGCGCCUGGAGGGAGGUAGGGGUGCGUGGAACUUCCGGUGGAGCGGUGAAAUGCGUAGAUAUCAGGAAGAACACCCGUGGCUAAGGCGGCUCUCUAGUACGGUACUGACGCUGAGACGCGAAAGCGUGGGGAGCGAACAGG